rnacentral:rRNA from 1 species
GAUGAACGCUGGCGGCGUGCUUAACACAUGCAAGUCGAACGAAGCACCUUAUUCUAAUUUCUUCGGAAUGAAAAAUUUGGUGACUGAGUGGCGGACGGGUGAGUAACGCGUGGGUAACCUGCCUCAUACAGGGGGAUAACAGUUAGAAAUGACUGCUAAUACCGCAUAAGACCACAGCACCGCAUGGUGCAGGGGUAAAAACUCCGGUGGUAUGAGAUGGACCCGCGUCUGAUUAGGUAGUUGGUGGGGUAACGGCCUACCAAGCCGACGAUCAGUAGCCGACCUGAGAGGGUGACCGGCCACAUUGGGACUGAGACACGGCCCAAACUCCUACGGGAGGCAGCAGUGGGGAAUAUUGCACAAUGGGGGAAACCCUGAUGCAGCGACGCCGCGUGAGCGAUGAAGUAUUUCGGUAUGUAAAGCUCUAUCAGCAGGGAAGAAGAUGACGGUACCUGACUAAGAAGCACCGGCUAAAUACGUGCCAGCAGCCGCGGUAA